UCAUAGGGUAUUUGUCUUGCUGCGACCUGCUCAUUUCAUGUGGCAGCGGGUCCAGAACUCACUUCUUCCUUAGGAUCGAUGUUCGUUCCACUGGAGCUGGAUGUCCCAUGAUCUUUCUCCAUUCCUCUGUGCAUGGACACGGGGGCUGCUUCUACAUCUUGACUCUUGUGAACAACACUGCGAUGAACAGGGAUGAGCUGGGAUCCCUUCAUACUGUUGGCUUUCAGUUCUUACAGAUGUAAAAUGAGUAAGAAGAUGGCUCCAUCACAUGAAGCAACAAGUGAACAUCAUCAACAGAAAGAAGGCAGCUGAUGGUCCGUUGUCAGCAUGACUCUUUGGUCCAGAUGAUGCUUCCAGUCUCUUGGGGUAUGACCCCUGCCAGUGGGGUCGCAGAAACCUAGACUGAAUUCCACUCAUCAGAAGGAACGUUGUACACUAGGACCCCCAGAGUCAGUAUCUUCAAGCUCCACAAGGAAAGGAAACAAAAGAUCCUCGGGACAAAAUAGGGAGCACAUGUAAGCAGGAGUGCCACAGAGCCAGGAUAGUUGGAUGUGAACAUAUGAAGAAAGACUCAGAAUCUCACUGAAUUUUCAUCCGAGACCUGGACUCAGACCCUGAGGCUGCGGCAGGAGGCGCGGGAGCAGCAGCAGCGGCAGGUGGAGGAAGAAGCCCGGCAGGCCAGAAAGGCCCAGGCCUGGGCGCAGCUCAAGGAGCAGGAAGUGCUGCAGCUGCAGGAGGAAGCAAAAAAUUUCAUUACCCGAGAGAACCUGGAGGCACGGGUGGAAGAAGCAUUGGACUCGCCACCGAAGAGCUACAAUUGGGCCAUCACCAGGGAAGGGCUGGUGGUCAGACCACAGCAUAGGGCUCGUAAGGGUCCAGUAAGGACAGUGCCCACCCAGGGACCAUGUGUGUAUGGGGUAGGAGGGUUGGGCCUGAUCUGGAAUAGAUCUGUUGAUGCUGCUUAGGAAGAAGGAGGCUCAGCCUAUUCCAGUGUCCUCCUCACAUUCUUCCCUGCACCCACCACCUGGUUGGCAGUUCCCAUACAUACUGUCCUGUUCUACACCCAUGUACGAAGCAGCAAAGCAGCAGACCUUAGAGGUUUCCAGCUCACAGUGGCGCAGAAUGGACCACAUUCCCCUCGAUCAACUAGGUCAUUUACUAAGUGUCAUCAAGGACAUGGACAGAGGUUGGCAAAUUACAGUCCUUUGGCCCAAUCUGUCCUACUGCCUGUUUUUGUAAAUAAAUUUUAUUGGAACACACACACACACACAAAAAUGGACUCAGACCCAUUGCUUUGUCACUUCCAGCUUUAUUAAGAGAGCUAGCAGAUUGGCUAUAGGAAUGAUUAACUUUGGGAAGCAGAGAAAAACACUUUAACUUCAAAGGGUAAAAGACUAGGCUAUUGACUCAAGGAGGGGGAGUGGAGGAGCUGUAUCUGGAGAACAAUGUAGUCAAGAGUCAGUGUGCCAACUCAGGUCUUCACGUAUCCCCAGGGUGCCCAGGACUAGAGAAGCUCCGCAGCUGGUUCCCCAUGCAGGGCGAAGGGCAGAGGGAGACAGGGAGAGAAUCUCAAGCAGACUC